CUCAUACUCCCUCCGUCCCGAAUUAGUUGUCUGAGAUUUGUCUAGAUACGGAUGUACUAUACAUCCGUAUCUAGACAAAUCUCAGACAACUAAUUCGGGACGGAGGGAGUAUCAA
rfam:Triticum aestivum genome assembly, contig: Triticum_aestivum_CS42_TGACv1_scaffold_221740_3B